AGCCACAUCACAUUAAAGCACCAGUUCCUGUAUGAUCACUGAUGUUAAGCAAUGUCAAGCUUGGUCAGUACCUAGAUGGGUGACCAUUUGAGAAUAUCAGGUGG
rnacentral:rRNA from 1 species